GACGAACGCUGGCGGCGUGCUUAACACAUGCGAGUCGAACGGAAAGGCCCUGCUUUUGUGGGGUGCUCGAGUGGCGAACGGGUGAGUAACACGUGAGUAACCUGCCCUUGACUUUGGGAUAACUUCAGGAAACUGGGGCUAAUACCGGAUAGGAGCUCCUGCUGCAUGGUGGGGGUUGGAAAGUUUCGGCGGUUGGGGAUGGACUCGCGGCUUAUCAGCUUGUUGGUGGGGGAGUGGCUUACCAAGGCUUUGACGGGUAGCCUGCCUGAGAGGGUGACCGGCCACAUUGGUACUGAGCUACGGCCCAGACUCCUACGGGAGACAGCAGUGGGGAAUAUUGCACAGUGGGCGGAAGCCUGAUGCAGCAACGCCGCGUGCGGGAUGACGGCCUUCGGGUUGUAAAACGCUUUCGCCUGUGACGAAGCGUGAGUGACGGUAAUGGGUAAAGAAGCACCGGCUAACUACGUG
rnacentral:rRNA from 1 species